rfam:Morus notabilis contig15289, whole genome shotgun sequence.
GAGCCAUGAUGACUCUUGCGCCUUUGUGAUGGUGGGGUCCAUCACAUCACCUGAUCCAACGGACGAGAAAUGGGCGCUUCUGAGCUC